ACGCCGCUGGGGCGGGGAGAGGGUUUCAGGUCCGAUAUUAACGGGCUCAGAGCAUGGGCCGUUAUGUCUGUGGUUCUAUAUCAUUUUGGUGUG
rnacentral:tRNA from 1 species